CAACAGCCGUGUUUAACACACAGCUCGUUCGCAUAUAGACAAGAAACACAAGAGAGUCUUUGAGGUAUUUGCGGUUCAUCAUUAAGAAACAAUCAACCAUCGCACUUUGGCUUCCAAACACAACCUUCCCUACUCGACGGCCGCAUCAGCACCAUCACAACAAACCGCUGCUGCCUGUAUUUGGCUCCUCAUUGACAAGCUCCUCCUCCUCCUGCCUUCAACAGGAGCUCUUCAUUCCCAUCUUGAAGUUGAGGAGAACAUCGUGGUCAGCGGAUGACCACUUCCUCUCAACCUUCAACCUUACCUCAACAACACAUCAAAAGGGGCCCCUUGUAUUUAUUAUUAUAGAUGAUGUUCUUCAGUCGUAAUGGCAGGUGGCACAGGGAGCUCUGCAGAAUAACUUUCUAAAAGGUGAUGAUGAACCAAAGAGACCGAUCGAUGGGUGUGGUUCCCUCUGAGCUAGACGCCUACCCUCUCCAUUCCCAUCUCCCUUCUUUGUUCUCCUCUCUCUGUCUCACUCUCUCAUUCAAAACAUCUCAAAGAAAGCCUCAAAGCCAACAAGUUAUUUUGUAAAGACACGAUCAACAACACAACAUGUUUUACCAUGCUAAUACCAUACAGUUAGCAAGGAACUAAAACUGAAGCAGACUGUUGAAAACAAUACAAGAAAACAUGUACAGUUGAAAGACACUUCUUCUGUAAGAACAUUUUGGGGUGAGAAGCUUUAGCGAUGGGUUUGAGUCUGGGUGUUCGUUUGUUUGACUGUGGUUGUCUAAUCUUAUUUACAGAAGUGGUGUUUGCACGCUGCAAGAUUUCAAUAACAUCAUCUGGCUGUUAGAUCAUUUACCAUUAGUAAAUUAUCAUUAGUUUAAAAUGCAAAAUUCUUUCUGAGGUUGGCUUUUGAGGACUUGUUGAAAAUGAAAAGUGUUUUGAACAUAUUUGUAGACAUAUUUUUGUGAUUUACUGUAAUUUACAUGUACACAUGUAAAUAAGUACUAUAUUUUUAUGAAGCUGAAAUUAGAAAUUAUUGUUGGUUGCGUAAUGUGUAAAAAAAACCCCACAAGAGCGAAUCGAAAUGUUGCUGUGCUGCAGGUUGGAUUAACGACACAUAUUACAAUCAACAUAUAACAUAAGGUCCUAUUUUC
rnacentral:lncRNA from 1 species